GCCAGUGUGGUGUAGUGGUUUGAGCAUUGAACUAUGACUUUGGAGACCAGGGUUCAAAUCCCUGCUCAGCCA